ACCAAAAAUAGGAGCGGACCAAGAAUUGAGCCUUGAGGGACUCCACAUGUAAUUAAUUUUUUACGAGAAAGUGUGCCAUUAACAGAGCACAUUUGAGUUCUGUUUUCUAGAUACGAUUUUAGGAGGUUUAAAGCUGAUGUUUCUAAACCAUAAAAAUCAAGUUUUUUCAAUAAUACAACGUGGUUAAUAGUGUCGAAUGCCUUUUGCAAGUCG